rnacentral:misc_RNA from 1 species
GAAAUGCGAUAAGUAAUGUGAAUUGCAGAAUUCAGUGAAUCAUCGAAUCUUUGAACGCACAUUGCGCCCGCCAGAAUUCUGGCGGGCAUGCCUGUUCGAGCGUCAUUUCAACCCUCGAGCUCCCCUUUCGGGGGGAGCCCGGCGUUGGGGACCCGGCGCUAACAACGCCGGCCCCGAAAUGGAGUGGCGGCCCGUCCGCGGCGACCUCUGCGUAGUAACAACCACUCGCACCGGGACCCGGGCGCGGCCACGCCGUAGAACACCCCACCUUCCGAAUGUUGACCUCGAAUCAGGUAGGAAUACCCGCUGAACUUAAGC